rnacentral:snRNA from 1 species
GUGCUUGCUUUGGCAGCACAUAUACUCAUAUUGGAACAAUACAGAGAAGAUUAGCAUUGUCCCUGCACAAGGAUGACAUGCAAUGUCAUGAAGCGUUCCAUAUUUUU